rnacentral:rRNA from 1 species
UACGGGAGGCAGCAGUGGGGAAUAUUGCACAAUGGGCGCAAGCCUGAUGCAGCCAUGCCGCGUGUAUGAAGAAGGCCUUCGGGUUGUAAAGUACUUUCAGUCGUGAGGAAGGUGUUAAGGUUAAUAACCUUAACAAUUGACGUUAGCGACAGAAGAAGCACCGGCUAACUCCGUGCCAGCAGCCGCGGUAAUACGGAGGGUGCGAGCGUUAAUCGGAAUUACUGGGCGUAAAGGGCACGCAGGCGGUUAAUUAAGUUGGAUGUGAAAUCCCCGGGCUUAACCUGGGAAUGGCAUUCAAGACUGGUUAGCUAGAGUCUUGUAGAGGGGGUUAGAAUUCCAUGUGUAGCGGUGAAAUGCGUAGAGAUGUGGAGGAAUACCGGUGGCGAAGGCGGCCCCUGGACAAAGACUGACGCUCAUGUGCGAAAGCGUGGGGAGCAAACGAGGAUUAGAUACC